AGGAUUUAAUGUACUCUAGUCUUUUCCUUCACUUAUAAAAGGAGAUACACCUUUUUGUAAAUGACUUAGAACUUGAAUGAUAUGAGAGAAAAUUUGUCAAAAUUGCAAGCCUCUCUUGGUUCUCAUUUGGAGUUAUCUUCUACUCUAGACUUUUUCUUCCUUUUCCUUUAAGGUUGGCCUAACCUCCUUCAAUGAACCUCAUCAAAACUGCAACCUUCAAGCAUUCUUCAUAUCUUCUUCAAUGUGUCUGCAAUGCCACUUCAUCUCCAUGGAGCUUCAUCAACAAGGUUGAAGGAGCAUCUCCAUCAAGUUCCUAUCAACACUCCCCUCCACAAGAUGCACCUUGCCCUCAAGGUGGAAAUCAGAAAAAUGUUCCUUGAAUGUAGAUAAAGCUUCCCACGAGUUUUCAAAAUCUGUUGUACCCAUUUACAUUUCUACUAUGAGUGUGUUGGCGGAGGAACGUACGUUAAUAUCCUUCAAUAAGGAUUUUCGUCCGUUGCGUGGGAGAAAAGCAAAAGAAGGAGGAUGUAAAACUAAAAGUUAGAUAGUUGCAUUCAAAAGGAGAUUAAACUUUACCUUUAUUAUAGUUGCAUUUAAAAGCGAAUUAUGGUUUGCCUUUAUUUGCUGAAAAAAUACCUAACGGUUAUGUAGGAUUUCAAAGUUGUCCUAUUUCUUCUCAAGCUUUUGGAUAUACAGCAACACUUUUGAAAAAUGCAAGCAAGCCAUUUGUGGGUGUAGUGUGAAGCAAGUUUCUUUGAUUUGUGUAAUUGCAAAAUGGGGUGUUUUGUUUUUUGAU